rnacentral:rRNA from 1 species
GACAGAGGGUGCAAACGUUGUUCGGAAUUACUGGGCGUAAAGCGCGUGUAGGCUGUGCUGCAAGUCGGGUGUGAAAGCCCCGGGCUCAACCUGGGAAGUGCACUCGAAACUGCAGGACUCGAGUCCUGGAGAGGAAGGCGGAAUUCUCGGUGUAGAGGUGAAAUUCGUAGAUAUCGAGAGGAACACCGGUGGCGAAGGCGGCCUUCUGGACAGUGACUGACGCUGAGACGCGAAAGCUAGGGGAGCAAACAGG